CCUUCCCGCCAUUUACACUGUCCGAUUUCUCUUCGUUUCAUUUCCAAAGACACUCCAAAUUCCGUUCCUCUCUCUCUCGUCCAAGUUUGAUCGAGGGAGAAAGUUGACGAAGCAACGGCCGAGAUGCUGAAUCCGAAGCCCUUCGCCGGAGGCAACGUGUUCGUGUCCUGCAAUCUUGUUGCUCAAGAGAUAUUUGAUGCUCUGAAGCAGAAUGGGGCUGACGUCUUCAUCUGUUGCGAUCCUUCUCGAAACGGGCGAAAAUUUCGAGGAUCUUUGCGCGAAGGUGUGCAAUUUUUUAGAGUACAGACCGCUUCCUCAACAGGAUUUUACUUGUUGCCUUGCUAUGGAUGGUGUGAAAAUUCUGGCAUCCGGUUUUCAGGCGGAUGAAAAGCUACGUUGCUAAUGUUCCUAUUUCCCCGUUUUUAUAGAAGCUUGUUUCUAAAUUAUAAUACAAAAUUGCAGGUUUAGUUAGGGAAGUUAGUUACUGCAAUGGGAGGAGUAUUGCAUACAAAAGCAUCUCUAGAUUCACCUUCAUUGUCGUGAAGAAUGUCUUGGCUGCAAAAUACAAGCUGAAAUUGUUGAAUGGAUAAAUCAAAAGGGGGAGGGGAGAUUGUUGAGGACCACAAGAGAAACGACAUCAAAAAUCUUCUGUAGUAACUUUACAUGUUCCUGAUGUUGCUGCUGCAAUUGAGAACUUGUUGGAGCAGACAAGAGCUGAAAGAAAAGAAGACGUUAGAAUCCUAAUACUGGAGAUGGGAGCGGAGGCAUAUAUGGUGGUUUUUGUGAAACACAAACCGAGUCUCAGGUCGUGGGUUAUGAAGAGGAUUUGUCGGGAAUGCAAAUACUUAUAGACAGAGUUCGAACCUGGAGUAGCAUGACUUAAACCUACAUCUACCCUUGUAAAAUACGUAAAGCCUUAGCCGCACUGUGAAGGUUUGAUUAGAGCUUGAUAUAAGAUUUAAAUAUGCGAAGAUAUAAAAUACGCGUGUUGGUACGCUAGAGAAUUAAAUGUCAAGAAAAUAGGUUUGAUUAAUUUAAUAAGACGCAAUGUGCGUUUAAAAAAUUAGUCAUCAAGAAAGUAAACAAGAUUAGUGGAAAAACUGCCUCCAGAAAAUAUCUUGGGCAAAAAAAGUCCUGCACUGUUUCGAUGAUUAAAAAAAAAUACAUAUUUUCUAGAUUUUGUUUUUAGAAAUCAAGGUAUAUUCAUUUUUGGGUUUUAAAAAAAAUUAAAAAGUUUCUUAAAUUGUAGUUUCAUGAACUGGGUAAUUACAUGAAUUCAUCAGAUAAAUACAUAGUGUAUGUAUAUAUUUCUAUUUAUUUAUUUAUGUAGGGAGAGAAUUUG